GAUGAACGCUGGCGGCGUGCCUAAUACAUGCAAGUCGAGCGAACGCACGAUAAGCUUGCUCCUCUGAUGUUAGCGGCGGACGGGUGAGUAACACGUGGAUAACCUACCUAUAAUACUGGGAUAACUACGUGGAACAGCAGCUACUACCGGAUCAUAUUUUGAACCGCAUGGUUCAAAAGAGAUAGACGGCCUUGGCGUCACUUUUAGAUGGAUCCGGGUUGGAUUAGCUAGUUGGUAAGGUAACGGCCUACCAAGGCAACGAUGCGUAGCCGACCUGAGAGGAUGAUCAGCCACACUGGAACUGAGACACGGUCCAGACUCCUACGGGAGGCAGCAGUAGGGAAUAUUCCACAAUGGGCGAAAGCCUGACCGAGCCACGCCGCGUGAGUGAAGAAGGUCUUCGGAUCGUAAAGCUCUGUUGUUAGGGAAGAAAAUAUGUAUAAUUAUAUGUGGACGUCUUGACGGUACCUAAAGAAAAAGCCCCGGCUAACUUCGUG
rnacentral:rRNA from 1 species